rnacentral:rRNA from 1 species
CACUUAGGAAUCUACCUAGUAGUGGGGGAUAGCUCGGGGAAACUCGAAUUAAUACCGCAUACGACCUACGGGAGAAAGGGGGCGAGUUUACUGCUCUCGCUAUUAGAUGAGCCUAAGUCGGAUUAGCUAGAUGGUGGGGUAAAGGCCUACCAUGGCGACGAUCUGUAGCUGGUCUGAGAGGAUGAUCAGCCACACCGGGACUGAGACACGGCCCGGACUCCUACGGGAGGCAGCAGUGGGGAAUAUUGGACAAUGGGGGCAACCCUGAUCCAGCCAUGCCGCGUGUGUGAAGAAGGCCUU